UGCAGAUGAUGUUAAAGAAUAUUUGCUAUCUUAACCGCAAUGCAGACAUCCCACCAAGAUCGCUGAUGCA
ensembl:snoRNA SNORD24 Small nucleolar RNA SNORD24